rnacentral:rRNA from 1 species
UGCAACCUGCCUUUAUCAGGGGGAUAGCCUUUCGAAAGGAAGAUUAAUACCCCAUAAUAUUUAGAAUGGCAUCAUUUUAAAUUGAAAACUCCGGUGGAUAGAGAUGGGCACGCGCAAGAUUAGAUAGUUGGUGAGGUAACGGCUCACCAAGUCUACGAUCUUUAGGGGGCCUGAGAGGGUGAUCCCCCACACUGGUACUGAGACACGGACCAGACUCCUACGGGAGGCAGCAGUGAGGAAUAUUGGACAAUGGGUGCGAGCCUGAUCCAGCCAUCCCGCGUGAAGGACGACGGCCCUAUGGGUUGUAAACUUCUUUUGUAUAGGGAUAAACCUAGAUACGUGUAUCUAGCUGAAGGUACUAUACGAAUAAGCACCGGCUAACUCCGUGCCAGCAGCCGCGGUAAUACGGAGGGUGCAAGCGUUAUCCGGAUUUAUUGGGUUUAAAGGGUCCGUAGGCGGAUCUGUAAGUCAGUGGUGAAAUCUCACAGCUUAACUGUGAAACUGCCAUUGAUACUGCAGGUCUUGAGUGUUGUUGAAGUAGCUGGAAUAAGUAGUGUAGCGGUGAAAUGCAUAGAUAUUACUUAGAACACCAAUUGCGAAGGCAGGUUACUAAGCAACAACUGACGCUGAUGGACGAAAGCGUGGGGAGCGAACAGGAUUAGAUACCCUGGUAGUCCACGCCGUAAACGAUGCUAACUCGUUUUUGGUAUUUCGGUAUCAGAGACUAAGCGAAAGUGAUAAGUUAGCCACCUGGGGAGUACGAACGCAAGUUUGAAACUCAAAGGAAUUGACGGGGGCCCGCACAAGCGGUGGAUUAUGUGGUUUAAUUCGAUGAUACGCGAGGAACCUUACCAAGGCUUAAAUGGGAAAUGACAGGUUUAGAAAUAGACUUUUCUUCGGACAUUUUUCAAGGUGCUGCAUGGUUGUCGUCAGCUCGUGCCGUGAGGUGUUAGGUUAAGUCCUGCAACGAGCGCAACCCCUGUCACUAGUUGCCAUCAUUAAGUUGGGGACUCUAGUGAGACUGCCUACGCAAGUAGAGAGGAAGGUGGGGAUGACGUCAAAUCAUCACGGCCCUUACGCCUUGGGCCACACACGUAAUACAAUGGCCGGUACAGAGGGCAGCUACACUGCGAAGUGAUGCAAAUCUCGAAAGCCGGUCUCAGUUCGGAUUGGAGUCUGCAACUCGACUCUAUGAAGCUGGAAUCGCUAGUAAUCGCGCAUCAGCCAUGGCGCGGUGAAUACGUUCCCGGGCCUU